UGGGCGAAAGCCUGACGCAGCGACGCCGCGUGCGGGAUGAAGGCCUUCGGGUUGUAAACCGCUUUCAGCAGGGACGAAGCGAAAGUGACGGUACCUGCAGAAGAAGCGCCGGCUAACUACGUGCCAGCAGCCGCGGUAACACGUAGGGCGCAAGCGUUGUCCGGAAUUAUUGGGCGUAAAGAGCUCGUAGGUGGCCCGCCACGUCUGUUGUGAAAAUCCAGGGCUUAACCCUGGACUUGCCUGCGGAUACGGGCGGGCUAGAGGUAGGUAGGGGAGAAUGGAAUUCCCGGUGUAGCGGUGAAAUGCGCAGAUAUCGGGAGGAACACCGGUGGCGAAGGCGGUUCUCUGGGCCUUACCUGACACUGAGGAGCGAAAGCGUGGGGAGCGAACAGGAUUAGAUACCCUGGUAGUCCACGCCGUAAACGUUGGGCGCUAGGUGUGGGGUCCUUCCACGGAUUCCGUGCCGCAGCUAACGCAUUAAGCGCCCCGCCUGGGGAGUACGGUCGCAAGACUGAAACUCAAAGGAAUUGACGGA
rnacentral:rRNA from 1 species